AUUGAACGCUGGCGGCAUGCCUUACACAUGCAAGUCGAACGGCAGCACGGGUGCUUGCACCUGGUGGCGAGUGGCGAACGGGUGAGUAAUACAUCGGAACGUACCUUAUCGUGGGGGAUAACGCAGCGAAAGCUGUGCUAAUACCGCAUACGCCCUGAGGGGGAAAGCGGGGGAUCGCAAGACCUCGCGCGAUUAGAGCGGCCGAUGCCUGAUUAGCUUGUUGGUGGGGUAAAAGCCCACCAAGGCGACGAUCAGUAGCUGGUCUGAGAGGACGAACAGCCACACUGAGACUGAGACACGGCCCAGACUCCUACGGGAGGCAGCAGUGGGGAAUUUUGGACAAUGGGGGCAACCCUGAUCCAGCCAUGCCGCGUGAGUGAAGAAGGCCUUCGGGUUGUAAAGCUCUUUCGGACGGAACGAAAUCGCUCGCGUGAAUAACGCGGGUGGAUGACGGUACUGUAAGAAGAAGCACCGGCUAACUACGUGCCAGCAGCCACUGUAA
rnacentral:rRNA from 1 species